rnacentral:misc_RNA from 1 species
AGCCCUUGACAUGUCCUCUAUGGAUUUCAGAGACGGAAUCCUUCACUUCGGGUGGGAGGAACACAGGUGCUGCAUGGCUGUCGUCAGCUCGUGUCGUGAGAUGUUGGGUUAAGUCCCGCAACGAGCGCAACCCUCGCCCUUAGUUGCCAGCAUUCAGUUGGGCACUCUAAGGGGACUGCCGGUGAUAAGCCGCGAGGAAGGUGGGGAUGACGUACUCUACG